rnacentral:misc_RNA from 1 species
GUCGAGGCAAUGGUCCGCCCGGUAGACGAGCUGGGACCGUACGCGGUCAUAGCUCCGGGAGUGGCGAUACCGCACGCACGCCCUGAAGAUGGAGCGUUGAGAGCAGGCGUCAGCUUGGCGACGCUGCGUAGCCCUGUCGAAUUCGGAGCCGAAGAGAACGAUCCGGUUGACCUCGUCUUCGGCUUCGCAACCACAGAUGCCGACGCUCAUGUCGAGCUUAUGCGUGCGCUAGCUAACUUCCUAGGCGAGCAGGAGAACCUAGAGAAACUGCGAGAGGCGCGUACGGCUGAAGACGCCCUCGAAGUGCUCAGGAGCGAGACCUGAGGCGCGAUAGGAUUCUGGUCGAUUCAACAGUGUCGGAUAGACCCUCGGUUCAGUGUACCUGGUACGUGUGUACCGAGCACCACGGUUGGGAUGUAGCACAAGUGAGCGCUGAGUGA